UACGAAGGGGGCUAGCGUUGUUCGGAAUUACUGGGCGUAAAGCGCACGUAGGCGGAUAUUUAAGUCAGGGGUGAAAUCCCGGGGCUCAACCCCGGAACUGCCUUUGAUACUGGGUAUCUCGAGUCCGAGAGAGGUGAGUGGAAUUCCGAGUGUAGAGGUGAAAUUCGUAGAUAUUCGGAGGAACACCAAUGGCGAAGGCGGCUCACUGGCUCGGUACUGACGCUGAGGUGCGAAAGCGUGGGGAGCAAACAGG
rnacentral:rRNA from 1 species